rnacentral:rRNA from 1 species
CCUACGGGAGGCAGCAGUCGAGAAUCAUUCACAAUGGGGGAAACCCUGAUGGUGCGACGCCGCGUGGGGGAAUGAAGGUCUUCGGAUUGUAAACCCCUGUCAUGUGGGAGCAAAUUAAAAAGAUAGUACCACAAUAGGAAGAGACGUCUAACUCUGUGCCAGCAGCCGCGGUAAUACAGAGGUCUCAAGCGUUGUUCGGAAUCACUGGGCGUAAAGCGUGCGUAGGCUGUUUCGUAAGUCGUGUGUGAAAGGUGCGGGCUCAACCCGCGGACGGCACAUGAUACUGCGAGACUAGAGUAAUGGAGGGGGAGCCGGAAUUCUCGGUGUAGCAGUGAAAUGCGUAGAUAUCGAGAGGAACACUCGUGGCGAAGGCGGGUUCCUGGACAUUAACUGACGCUGAGGCACGAAGGCCAGGGGAGCGAAAGGGAUUAGAUACCCCUGUAGUC